ACGCUGGCGGCGUGCCUAAUACAUGCAAGUAGAACGCUGAAGCUUGGUGCUUGCACCGAGCGGAUGAGUUGCGAACGGGUGAGUAACGCGUAGGUAACCUGCCUCUUAGCGGGGGAUAACUAUUGGAAACGAUAGCUAAUACCGCAUAAAAGACGAUAUCGCAUGAUAUUGAUUUGAAAGGUGCAAAUGCAUCACUAAGAGAUGGACCUGCGUUGUAUUAGCUAGUUGGUGAGGUAACGGCUCACCAAGGCAACGAUACAUAGCCGACCUGAGAGGGUGAUCGGCCACACUGGGACUGAGACACGGCCCAGACUCCUACGGGAGGCAGCAGUAGGGAAUCUUCGGCAAUGGGGGCAACCCUGACCGAGCAACGCCGCGUGAGUGAAGAAGGUUUUCGGAUCGUAAAGCUCUGUUGUAAGAGAAGAACGAGUGUGAGAGUGGAAAGUUCACACUGUGACGGUAACUUACCAGAAAGGGACGGCUAACUACGUGCCAGCAGCCGCGGUAAUACGUAGGUCCCGAGCGUUAUCCGGAUUUAUUGGGCGUAAAGCGAGCGCAGGCGGUUAGAUAAGUCUGAAGUUAAAGGCUGUGGCUUAACCAUAGUACGCUUUGGAAACUGUUUAACUUGAGUGCAGAAGGGGAGAGUGGAAUUCCAUGUGUAGCGGUGAAAUGCGUAGAUAUAUGGAGGAACACCGGUGGCGAAAGCGGCUCUCUGGUCUGUAACUGACGCUGAGGCUCGAAAGCGUGGAGAGCAAACAGGAUUAGAUACCCUGGUAGUCCACGCCGUAAACGAUGAGUGCUAGGUGUUGGGUCCUUUCCGGGACUCAGUGCCGCAGCUAACGCAUUAAGCACUCCGCCUGGGGAGUACGACCGCAAGGUUGAAACUCAAAGGAAUUGACGGG
rnacentral:rRNA from 1 species